CAUUGCAAAAACACAAAGUCACUUCAUUUUAUUAUUCAACAUGAUUGCAAAUCCUGGCAUUACAUCAGAAAUCAACUUCUAAUUUUUAUUCUCAUAGCUAGCAUUUCAUUAUGAAACUUUACACAGGGACAUCUCACACGUGCGUAAUUCAAGUAAUCUGCUAGGUAUUUGAAUUUCCUAAUACACUAAAGAUACAACUGCUGACAUUAUUAAACCAGAUAAGGUUAUGGGCUUGAGCAAUUUCCAGGCUGCUCCAUGAAUGAAGCAUGGGAGGAUUUC